rnacentral:rRNA from 1 species
GCCAUAACUUAUAGAGAACCGUACCGCAAACCGACACAGGUGGACAGGUAGAGAAUACUAAGGCGCUUGAGAGAACUCGGGUGAAGGAACUAGGCAAAAUGGUACCGUAACUUCGGGAGAAGGUACGCCCUUUUGGGUGAGGGCAUUUACUGUCUGAGCUUAAGAGGGCCGCAGAGACCAGGUGGCUGCGACUGUUUAUUAAAAACACAGCACUCUGCAAAUUCGUAAGAAGACGUAUAGGGUGUGACGCCUGCCCGGUGCCGGAAGGUUAAUUGAUGGGGUUAUCUUCGGAGAAGCUCUUGAUCGAAGCCCCGGUAAACGGCGGCCGUAACUAUAACGGUCCUAAGGUAGCGAAAUUCCUUGUCGGGUAAGUUCCGACCUGCACGAAUGGCGUAACGAUGGCCACACUGUCUCCACCCGAGACUCAGUGAAAUUGAAAUCGCUGUGAAGAUGCAGUGUACCCGCGGCUAGACGGAAAGACCCCGUGAACCUUUACUAUAGUUUUGCACUGGACUUUGAUGAUGACUGUGUAGGAUAGGUGGGAGGCUGUGAAGUGAGGACGCUAGUUCUCAUGGAGCCGCCCUUGAAAUACCACCCUGUUGUUAUUGAGGUUCUAACUUGGUCCAGUAAUCCUGGAUGAGGACAGUGUAUGAUGGGUAGUUUGACUGGGGCGGUCUCCUCCCAAAGAGUAACGGAGGAGCACAAAGGUACCCUCGGUACGGUCGGACAUCGUACCAAGAGUGUAAAGGCAAAAGGGUGCUUGACUGCGAGAGUGACGGCUCGAGCAGGAACGAAAGUUGGUCUUAGUGAUCCGGUGGUUCUGAAUGGAAGGGCCAUCGCUCAACGGAUAAAAGGUACUCCGGGGAUAACAGGCUGAUACCGCCCAAGAGUUCAUAUCGACGGCGGUGUUUGGCACCUCGAUGUCGGCUCAUCACAUCCUGGGGCUGAAGCAGGUCCCAAGGGUAUGGCUGUUCGCCAUUUAAAGUGGUACGCGAGCUGGGUUUAGAACGUCGUGAGACAGUUCGGUCCCUAUCUGCCGUGGGCGUAGGAAAAUUGAGAGGAGCUGCUCCUAGUACGAGAGGACCGGAGUGGACGAACCUCUGGUGCACCGGUUGUCACGCCAGUGGCAUGGCCGGGUAGCUAAGUUCGGACGGGAUAACCGCUGAAAGCAUCUAAGCGGGAAGCCUCCCUCAAGAUGAGUUUUCCCAUGAAGCCCGUUGAAGACUACGACGUUGAUAGGCAAGGUGUGGAAGCGCAGUAAUGCGUGAAGCUAACUUGUACUAAUUGGCUGAUUGUCUUGACCAUAUAAUCUGAG